UAUAAGGGAGAUUAAAGCCCACAAAAGACCCCCUGGAGGGGUAAAAAAAAACCCAAAAAACUUAAUAGAGAACAAGCACAAGUAAAGUGUGUUUGUACAUUUGUCAAGUGUUUUAACUUGACAAAUAUAUUGUCAAGUUAAAACAGCAAAUAGUACAUUUUUGAAUGUAUUUACCAUCUCCACCCAACUGGUACACACCUUGCAAAGAAUCAAGUGCACCCACCCCUUUCACUUCUCAAGUUCAGCAGCCAAAUCUACAAGGUAACUUGGCACACCUGUGCUCACAAUGAUCUCUCUUCAGACAAAGAACCUCAACUGAAAGCUUCCUCAAAGACACCACCGGUGGGAACGGACAGGGUAGGUCCAUUCCUACCCUGUCACUGCAUGUCGUCCCGGUCUUCAGCCUGCAGCAGGUACUCACAGAAGUCCUGCGUGGUCAGCCUCAGGGUGUGCUUUCGUUUGGUUCCACUGUAGGCAAUAUCAAUCAGGCAGCCUCGAAUACUGACUGGUGGAUGUUCAUCCUGGCUGCUGCCUGCCCCGGCGCCAUGCAGCACAGCUUCACGCUUGUCUUUGUAAAGGAAAAGGGAGUGAUGGCGAAGCACACUGAAGACACGUUUCCAAGGCCGCAUGCUGCCUCCUAGCUUCUAUAACAGGCGGCUCUUCAGGAGGAGAGACCACAGCUCCAGGUUGAGAUGCAGCUUCUCAGAAUCUCCCUUUGAUCCUCUUUCUCCUCUUGACAUCGCCUUCUUCACUGCCUCCUAAUCUUUUAUAUACUUAAUUAUAGAAAUAUUUUUUCAUAAUUCCAUGAACAUGGGCUUAAUAUCUGCUUGUUUGUUAUACUAAAUAAAUACAUUUUUAUGAUUA